rnacentral:rRNA from 1 species
GGAGGGAGCUAGCGUUGUUCGGAAUCACUGGGCGUAAAGCGCACGUAGGCGGCUUUGUAAGUUAGAGGUGAAAGCCCGGGGCUCAACUCCGGAACUGCCUUUAAGACUGCAUCGCUUGAAUCUGGGAGAGGUAAGUGGAAUUCCGAGUGUAGAGGUGAAAUUCGUAGAUAUUCGGAAGAACACCAGUGGCGAAGGCGGCUUACUGGACCAGAAUUGACGCUGAGGUGCGAAAGCGUGGGGAGCAAA